rnacentral:lncRNA from 1 species
UUCUCUGCUGGGUCUGAACACCAUGCCUCUGAGUUGCCCCUUUCCUCCCAGCUAGGACAGCAUGAACACUAAGCUGCAGGUACUUCACCCGAUUCUCUGGCGAGGGUCCAAGAAUUGCAGUUCAGUGCCUUGCUUUCUAAGGGCCCAGUGAGGAGAGAGGACCUGUAGAAGAUGGCAGAGCAAAGAGCAGUGCUGCUGGGCCACUAUGAAAGAGUCAUCCUAGUCAUCUCUGAAGAGCAGAAUGUGUCAGGUAAGAGUCACAGUUGGUGACCCAUCAUGCAUGCAGUACCAGUUCUAUCUCACAGCCAGACUCAGGGAAAAAUCAGGUGGGAAACAUUCCUAUUCAAAAGUAAAUAGCACAAUUGGGAAACAAAUUCAGAAGGAAUUCUACUUUGAGCUGUGCUGAGAGCAUCCAUCCCCUCAGCUCUUUCCCAGACUAAAGACUUCUACUGAUGAUAAUUCAGGAUCAUACUUCUGAGUACCUAUUCUUAAAUGGUGGAUUACUGACUUAAUAAUCCAUAGACAACUAUACUUGUUUUCAAAACUCAAAAUAAUAACAGUUACAUUUCUAAAAGGUUUUACUUUAAAUGGCAAAUUUCAACAACCACAAUUUAGAGCUGAAUAGAAUGAAUCUUUCUUUCAUGCAGUUGCAAAAUAAAGGUUUACCAGGAUUCA